rnacentral:rRNA from 1 species
AACGAACGCUGGCGGCAGGCCUAACACAGGCAAGUCGAACGCCCCGCAAGGGGAGUGGCAGACGGGUGAGUAACGCGUGGGAACCUUCCCAGUGGUACGGAAUAACUGACCGAAAGGUUGGCUAAUACCGUAUACGCCCGCAAGGGGAAAGAUUUAUCGGCAUUGGAUGGGCGCGCGUCGGAUUAGCUAGUUUGUGAGGUAAUGGCUCACCAAGGCGACGAUCCGGAGCUGGGCUGAGAGGAUGGUCAGCCACACUGGGACUGAGACGCGGCCCAGACUCCUACGGGAGGGAGCAGUGCGGAAUAUUGGACAGUGGGCGCAAGCGUGAUCCAGCCAUGCCGCGUGAGUGCUGAAGGUCUUCGGAUUGUAAAACGCUUUCACCGACGAAGAUAAUGACGGUACCGGGAAAAGAAGCUCCGGCUAACUUCGUGCCAGCCGCCGCAGUAA